rnacentral:rRNA from 1 species
AAUCAACGCUGGCGGCGUGCCUCAGACAUGCAAGUCGAACGCGAAAUUUCCCUUCGGGGAGAAAGUAGAGUGGCGCACGGGUGAGUAACACGUAGGUAAUUUGCCUUUGGGUGGGGAAUAACUCAGGGAAACUUGAGCUAAUACCGCAUAAUGCAGCGGCUCGACAUCGAGACAGUUGUUAAAGCGGGGGAUUGGAGCAAUCCGACCUCGCGCCUAAAGAGAAGCCUGCGGCAGAUUAGCUAGUUGGUAAGGUAAUGGCUUACCAAGGCGACGAUCUGUAACCGGCCUGAGAGGGCGGUCGGUCACACUGACACUGACAUACGGGUCAGACUCCUACGGGAGGCAGCAGUCGGGAAUUUUGGGCAAUGGGCGCAAGCCUGACCCAGCAACGCCGCGUGAAGGAUGUAAA